GUGCCUAAUAGCUAGCCCAAACAUCCACCUAAAAUUAUUUAUAAAUACCUUUUAAUUAAUUUAAAAAAUUUAAACAAACCAUUUUUCCACCUUAGUAUGGGCGACAGAAAAGGAACCCGGAGCAACAGAAAAAGUACCGCAAGGGAAAGCUGAAAGAGAAAUGAAACAACUUGUUCAAGCCGUAAAAAGCAGAGAUUAAAACUCGUACCUUUUGCAUCAUGAUUUAGCCAGUAAAACUCAAGCACAGCGCCCUUUAGUUUGAUACCCCGAAACUGAGCGAGCUACUUCAAGACAGCCUAUUUAAAUAGGGCAAACCCGUCUCUGUGGCAAAAGAGUGGGAAGAGCUUCAAGUAGCGGUGAUAAACCUACCGAGCCCAGUUAUAGCUGGUUGCCUGAGAAAUGAAUAGAAGUUCAGCCUUUUAUGUUUCUUAACCUAAACCAGACCCACACAAAUCUAGGCCUAAAAGAAACUAAAAGAGUUAGCCAACGGAGGUACAGCUCCUUUGGAAAAGAUACAACUUUUUUAGGUGGUGAAAGAUCAAAAUUAUUUACUAGGUAUUUCGUUUUAGUGGGCCUAA
rnacentral:rRNA from 1 species